AGAACGAACGCUGGCGGCAUGCCUAAUACAUGCAAGUCGAACGAACACUUCGGUGUUAGUGGCGCACGGGUGCGUAACGCGUGGGAAUCUGCCCUUGGGUUCGGAAUAACAGUUGGAAACGACUGCUAAUACCGGAUGAUAUCGAAAGAUCAAAGAUUUAUCGCCCAGGGAUGAGCCCGCGUAGGAUUAGCUAGUUGGUGAGGUAAAGGCUCACCAAGGCGACGAUCCUUAGCUGGUCUGAGAGGAUGAUCAGCCACACUGGGACUGAGACACCGGCCCAGACUCCGUACGGGA
rnacentral:rRNA from 1 species